rnacentral:rRNA from 1 species
CAUGCAAGUCGUGCGAGAAAGUAUCUUCGGAUAUGAGUAGAGCGGCGGACGGGUGAGUAACGCGUAGGAAUCUACCUAGUAGAAGGGGAUAGCCCGAGGAAACUCGGAUUAAUACCGUAUACCUCCUUAGGGAGAAAGAGGGCCUCUCUUGAUGCUCUCGCUAUUAGAUGAGCCUGCGUAAGAUUAGCUUGUUGGUGAGGUAAUGGCUCACCAAGGCUACGAUCUUUAGCUGGUCUGAGAGGACGAUCAGCCACAUUGGGACUGAGACACGGCCCAGACUCCUACGGGAGGCAGCAGUGGGGAAUAUUGGACAAUGGGCGCAAGCCUGAUCCAGCCAUACCGCGUGUGUGAAGAAGGCCUUCGGGUUGUAAAGCACUUUAAGCAGGGAGAAAAAGUUAUAAGUUAAUACCUUAUAACCGUGAUGUUACCUGCAGAAUAAGCACCGGCUAAUUCCGUGCCAGCAGCCGCGGUAAUACGGAAGGUGCAAGCGUUAAUCGGAAUUACUGGGCGUAAAGCGCGCGUAGGUGGUUUGUUAAGUUGGAUGUGAAAGCCCUGGGCUCAACCUAGGAACUGCAUCCAAAACUAACUCACUAGAGUACGAUAGAGGGAGGUAGAAUUCAUAGUGUAGCGGUGGAAUGCGUAGAUAUUAUGAAGAAUACCGGUGGCGAAGGCGGCCUCCUGGAUCUGUACUGACACUGAGGUGCGAAAGCGUGGGUAGCGAACAGGAUUAGAUACCCUGGUAGUCCACGCCGUAAACGAUGACAACUAGCUGUUGGGAGACAAUGUCUUUCAGUGGCGCAGCUAACGUUUUAAGUUGUCCGCCUGGGGAGUACGG